GGUAAUUUGACCGUGCAAAGGUAGCAUAAUCAUUAGUUUUUUAAUUGAAAGCUGGAAUGAAAGGUUGGAUGAGAAAAAAGCUGUCUCUAUUUAAUUUACUUAGAAUUUUAUUUUUAAGUCAAAAAGCUUAAAUUUUAAUAGAAGACGAGAAGACCCUAUAGAGUUUUAUUAAUUUUUUUUAUAAAAAUAAUGGUAUCUUUUAUUUUUAUAUUGAAUAUUAAUUUAGUUGGGGUGAUUGAAAAAUUUGAUUAACUUUUUUUUUAUACACACAUUUAUAUAUGAUUAUUUGAUCCUUAAUUUAAGAUUAAAAGAUAAAAUUACCUUAGGGAUAACAGCGUAAUUUUUUUUGAGAGUUCUAAUCGAAAGAAAAGAUUGCGACCUCGAUGUUGGAUUAAAAUAAAAUUUUGGUGUAGAAGCUAAAA
rnacentral:rRNA from 1 species